rnacentral:rRNA from 1 species
ACAUGCAAGUCGAGGGGAAACGAUAUUGGAAGCUUGCUUCCGAUAGGCGUCGACCGGCGCACGGGUGAGUAACGCGUAUCCAACCUGCCCACCACUUGGGGAUAACCUUGCGAAAGUAAGACUAAUACCCAAUGAUAUCUCUAGAAGACAUCUGAAAGAGAUUAAAGAUUUAUCGGUGAUGGAUGGGGAUGCGUCUGAUUAGCUUGUUGGCGGGGUAACGGCCCACCAAGGCGACGAUCAGUAGGGGUUCUGAGAGGAAGGUCCCCCACAUUGGAACUGAGACACGGUCCAAACUCCUACGGGAGGCAGCAGUGAGGAAUAUUGGUCAAUGGGCGAGAGCCUGAACCAGCCAAGUAGCGUGCAGGAUGACGGCCCUAUGGGUUGUAAACUGCUUUUAUAAGGGAAUAAAGUGAGUCUCGUGAGACUUUUUGCAUGUACCUUAUGAAUAAGGACCGGCUAAUUCCGUGCCAGCAGCCGCGGUAAUACGGAAGGUCCGGGCGUUAUCCGGAUCUAUUGGGUUUAAAGGGAGCGUAGGCCGGAGAUUAAGCGUGUUGUGAAAUGUAGAUGCUCAACAUCUGCACUGCAGCGCGAACUGGUUUCCUUGAGUACGCACAAAGUGGGCGGAAUUCGUGGUGUAGCGGUGAAAUGCUUAGAUAUCACGAAGAACUCCGAUUGCGAAGGCAGCUCACUGGAGCGCAACUGACGCUGAAGCUCGAAAGUGCGGGUAUCGAACAGGAUUAGAUACCCUGGUAGUCCGCACGGUAAACGAUGGAUGCCCGCUGUUGGUCUGAAUAGGUCAGCGGCCAAGCGAAAGCAUUAAGCAUCCCACCUGGGGAGUACGCCGGCAACGGUGCAACUCAAAUGAAUUGACGG